AGGAACCUCUGGAGGUUCAUAGGAGGAGACCAGGAACAUCUGGAGGUUCAUAGGAGGAGACCAGGAACAUCUGGAGGUUCAUAGGAGGAGACCAGGAGCCUCUGGAGGUUCAUGGGAGGAGAUCAGGAGCAUCUGGAGGUUCAUAGGAGGAGACCAGGAACCUCUGGAGGUUCAUAGGAGGAGACCAGGAGCCUCUGGAGGUUCAUAGGAGGAGACCAGGAACAUCUGGAGGUUCAUAGGAGGAGAGCAGGAACCUCUGGAGGUUCAUCUGAGACCAGGAACCUCUGGAGGUUCAUAGGAGGAGACAAAGAACCUCUGGAAGUUUAUCUGAGAC
ensembl:lncRNA